GAUGAACGCUGGCGGCGUGCCUAAUACAUGCAAGUCGAGCGAACAGACGAGGAGCUUGCUCCUCUGACGUUAGCGGCGGACGGGUGAGUAACACGUGGAUAACCUACCUAUAAGACUGGGAUAACUUCGGGAAACCGGAGCUAAUACCGGAUAAUAUAUUGAACCGCAUGGUUCAAUAGUGAAAGACGGUUUUGCUGUCACUUAUAGAUGGAUCCGCGCCGCAUUAGCUAGUUGGUAAGGUAACGGCUUACCAAGGCAACGAUGCGUAGCCGACCUGAGAGGGUGAUCGGCCACACUGGAACUGAGACACGGUCCAGACACCUACGGGAGGCAGCAGUAGGGAAUCUUCCGAAAUGGGCGAAAGCCUGACGGAGCAACGCCGCGUGAGUGAUGAAGGUCUUCGGAUCGUAAAACUCUGUUAUUAGGGAAGAACAAAUGUGUAAGUAACUAUGCACGUCUUGACGGUACCUAAUCAGAAAGCCACGGCUAACUACGUG
rnacentral:rRNA from 1 species